rnacentral:rRNA from 1 species
UACGGAGGGAGCUAGCGUUGUUCGGAAUUACUGGGCGUAAAGCGCACGUAGGCGGAUCGUUAAGUCGGGGGUGAAAUCCUGGAGCUCAACUCCAGAACUGCCUUCGAUACUGGCGAUCUUGAGUCCGGAAGAGGUGAGUGGAACUCCUAGUGUAGAGGUGGAAUUCGUAGAUAUUAGGAAGAACACCAGUGGCGAAGGCGGCUCACUGGACUGGUAUUGACGCUGAGGUGCGAAAGCGUGGGGAGCAAACAGG